AAAUUGAAGAGUUUGAUCAUGGCUCAGAUUGAACGCUGGCGGCAGGCCUAACACAUGCAAGUCGAACGGUAACAGGAAGCAGCUUGCUGCUUCGCUGACGAGUGGCGGACGGGUGAGUAAUGUCUGGGAAACUGCCUGAUGGAGGGGGAUAACUACUGGAAACGGUGGCUAAUACCGCAUAACGUCGCAAGACCAAAG
rnacentral:rRNA from 5 species